UGACCAGGACCCCGAACUGGUGAGGACGAGGGAGGAGUUACUCCAGCGGGGACUUUUUAACCCCGGGAGGCCAAUAAGGAAAAGCACUCAGCUGCGCAGGCUUUCAGCUGCGCAGGCUUCCUGCCGCGCCAGGGACUGUCUCCGGCCCGGCCGAUGGAGAGACGGUCAUCUAUCUUUUGUUUUUCAAAAUUAACAACAUAGGUCUGAAUUAUUUGCCCGGAAGAGUGUGAAACAUUCACUCCUGGCCUCUCUUUCACUUGCUUUAUUCUUGUUUGAACGAAGGGGAAAAUGCCGUGGGUCGAACAGGCAUCGACGAAGACAGCCAUGCCCGUCAGGCCUCCGACCCCACGUCGCCAUAAAUAGCCGGGACUCCGCCAUUAUAGUUCUCUUUGUGCAUGCACCUUCCUCUGGAGGAUGUCCGUGUGCUGUGUUGCGCCGGGGGGCUGCUGUGGCGCCAUCCCCUACGCCAGGGGGAGGCGGCGGCCCCGGCGACCUGCGCUGUCUCUGCCAAGCUUCCUUCGUGGCCCUGGUCUUCGUAGGCUGGUUCGCAGCGCCACGAGGGUGUUUUAAGGUGCUCGCCGUGUGUUACCCUUGAAUAAAGCCUGAUUAUUCUAGAAGCCUACUUGGGGCAGUGCCCUUUUACAGAUCAGUGUCUAAUCUGGUGACUGAAUGGCUGAAGUUGGGAAUUUAGCCUCUUGGAGAAGUGCUGUUGAGACUUCUGGGUCGCCUAGAUAGUGGCUCCUGCCACUUGAAUCUUUGGGCUGCAAUGAGGAGUGAAGAGCCAUGUCCUUUCUCCCUGGCUCCUAUGGAUUUUGCUAACGAGAGGAUGUGUCUUAUUUGGUGUUGAGCAAAUCCUAGGAACUUCAUCUAGCUGUCCUGCAUUAACCUGUGAGCAGCUUUGAACUUGAGAAAAAAAACUGCAUAGAAAUUUUGAGAUAUUUAAAUAUCAUUCAGACCACUUUGCUUCAUUGUAAUCAAAUACUUGGUCUUGUCAAAUGGAUUCUAAUAAAAUGCUUUAGAGCAAAGUAAAAGUUUGGUUUUUGUAUAAGCAAAGUCAUACAAAAAGAUUUAGGGAAGUGAAAGGUAACUGAAUGAGCAUCACAGUUGACAUCUAGCUAUGUCUUCGCAGCUAUAUACAAGAUAAAAAACUAGGUUGACGCUAACAUUAAGCAUUUCUAGGUGGUCUGCCAUAGGAUUCUAAUGGGUUAGAUGUACUUAACAAGUAGUGAAGAUUUUUAGGAUGUCGAAAUGUUAACACAGGCACUUAGCUUGCGUUCAGCUCAGGUCAUGAUCACCGGUUUGUGAGUUUGAGCCCUUCGUCUGGCUUUUUGCUGCGCACCUGGAGCCUGCUUCAGAUUCUGUGUCUCUCUCCCCUCCCCCCCACUUUGUGUCUUUAAAGAAUAAGUAUUAAAGUUAAAAACAACAAAACAUGGUCACCACUGUGGCUCAGUGGGUUUAGUGCCUGACUUUGCCUUGCAUUAUGAUCUCAUAGUUCGUGGGUUCAGGCUCACUGGUGUCAGCAUGGUGUCCACUUUGGAUCCUCUGGACCCUUCUCUUUGUCCCUCCCCUGCUUGCACUGUCUCCAAAAUAAAUAUUAAAAAAAAAAAUCCAUGCCUGUGCUAGUUGCCAGGGGCUGGGGAAAGGGGUAAAUGGAGUUUAAUGGAUAUAGAAUUUCAGUUUACAAGAUAAAGAAUUCUGGAGAUAGAUGGUGGUGUUGGUUGCUUAGUAUUACUGAAAUGUGUGCUUAAAAAUGGUUAAGAUGGUAAGUUUUUUGUGUAGCCAACCACAGUAAAAAUUGGGGGGAAAAGAUCCAUACUUGGACUAUUUCAAAAAUGGUUUCCUACCCACCAGCGUGUACAAAUUUGUGUUGUUUUAAGAUUAUAUUAUAAAUUACCCAGUUUCUAGGAGGAGGGCAUUUAGGUUUCUAGUCAUGCUAUAUACCCUGUUGUUUGUACCCAUUUGAAGUUGUGUUGUAGAAUAAUACAUUUCAAAAGUAAAAUUUGAAAGGGUUUAAUAAGCAAAACAAUGCAUGGUAUAUUUCAUACCAGUUUAUGCUCAUGGCCUCAGUGUCCAUAAGAUUGCCUGUCUACCCUAUACCUAUCAUCACUACUCCCAGUUGUAACAGUUUUAGCACGGGUUUGGUUCUAUUAACUCAUUCUUUGUUUUGUUUUUUAAUUUUGAGAGAGUGUGAGUAAGGGAGGGGCAUCUCUUUCUUGUUUAAUGUUUAUUUUUGAGAGAGAACGGGAGCAGGUGAGGGACAGAGAGAGGGAGACAGAAUCUGAAGCAGGCUCCAGGUUCUAAGCAGUCAGCACAGAGCCCCAUGUGGGGCUCAAACGCAAACUGCGAGAUCAUGACCUGUACCAAAGUCGGACACUUAACCAACUGAGCCACCUAGGAGUCCCCAACUCCUCUUUAAAACAUUUGCUACUGGGGCGCCUGGGUGGCUCAGUCGGUUAAGCAUCUGACCAGCUCAGGUCACGAUCUCGUGGUCCAUGAGUUCGAGCCCUGCGUCGGGCUCUGUGCUG